rnacentral:rRNA from 1 species
GAACGCUGGCGGCAGGCCUAACACAUGCAAGUCGAGCGGUACACAGAGAGCUUGCUCUCGGGUGACGAGCGGCGGACGGGUGAGUAAUGUCUGGGAAACUGCCUGAUGGAGGGGGAUAACUACUGGAAACGGUAGCUAAUACCGCAUAACGUCGCAAGACCAAAGUGGGGGACCUUCGGGCCUCAUGCCAUCAGAUGUGCCCAGAUGGGAUUAGCUAGUAGGUGGGGUAAUGGCUCACCUAGGCGACGAUCCCUAGCUGGUCUGAGAGGAUGACCAGCCACACUGGAACUGAGACACGGUCCAGACUCCUACGGGAGGCAGCAGUGGGGAAUAUUGCACAAUGGGCGCAAGCCUGAUGCAGCCAUGCCGCGUGUAUGAAGAAGGCCUUCGGGUUGUAAAGUACUUUCAGCGAGGAGGAAGGCGUUAAGGUUAAUAACCUUAGCGAUUGACGUUACUCGCAGAAGAAGCACCGGCUAACUCCGUGCCAGCAGCCGCGGUAAUACGGAGGGUGCAAGCGUUAAUCGGAAUUACUGGGCGUAAAGCGCACGCAGGCGGUCUGUCAAGUCGGAUGUGAAAUCCCCGGGCUCAACCUGGGAACUGCAUUCGAAACUGGCAGGCUAGAGUCUUGUAGAGGGGGGUAGAAUUCCAGGUGUAGCGGUGAAAUGCGUAGAGAUCUGGAGGAAUACCGGUGGCGAAGGCGGCCCCCUGGACAAAGACUGAC